AGUUUAGAAUAUCAAAUAAUAUAACUUUAACUUAAAUCAAAUAUCAUAUAUCGUUUUUAACGAUGGAUCAUGAAAUACCUUCGUUUAUAUGCUAUACAUACCACCGUAUCGCCUUUUUUUGGACCAGUUCGAUUUGCGGGGACUGCUGACAUUAACUGACUAUAUCGUUGCUGAUUUAGUGGAGCUAUUAUUAAAAUUUCCAUUUGAAAUUAUAUAAACUAUGUUAUUUUAUAUUAUUAUAAAAUAAACUACUAUGAAAUUGAGAC